GUGGGGAAUAUUGGACAAUGGGCGCAAGCCUGAUCCAGCCAUGCCGCGUGUGUGAAGAAGGCCUUCGGGUUGUAAAGCACUUUUGUUGGGAAAGAAAUCCUGUCGGCUAAUACCCGGCGGGGAUGACGGUACCCAAAGAAUAAGCACCGGCUAACUUCGUGCCAGCAGCCGCGGUAAUACGAAGGGUGCAAGCGUUACUCGGAAUUACUGGGCGUAAAGCGUGCGUAGGUGGUUCGUUAAGUCAGAUGUGAAAGCCCCGGGCUCAACCUGGGAAUUGCAUUUGAUACUGGCGGACUAGAGUGCGGUAGAGGAGAGUGGAAUUCCCGGUGUAGCAGUGAAAUGCGUAGAGAUCGGGAGGAACAUCAGUUGCGAAGGCGGCUCUCUGGACCAGCACUGACACUGAGGCACGAAAGCGUGGGGAGCAAACAGGAUUAGAAACCCUAGUAGUCC
rnacentral:rRNA from 1 species